AUUCCAGCUCCAAUAGCGUAUAUUAAAGUUGUUGCAGUUAAAACGCUCGUAGUCGGAUUUCGGGGCGGGCCGACCGGUCUGCCGAUGGGUAUGCACUGGCCGGCGCGUCCUUCCACCCGGAGACCGCGCCUACUCUUAACUGAGCGGGCGCGGGAGACGGGUCUUUUACUUUGAAAAAAUCAGAGUGUUUCAAGCAGGCAGUCGCUCUUGCAUGGAUUAGCAUGGGAUAAUGAAAUAGGACUCUGGUGCUAUUUUGUUGGUUUCGAACACCGGAGUAAUGAUUAACAGGAACGGUUGGGGGUAUUCGUAUUCGAUUGUCAGAGGUGAAAUUCUUGGAUUUAUGGAAGACGAACUACUGCGAAAGCAUUUACCAAGGAUGUUUUCAUUG
rnacentral:rRNA from 1 species